rnacentral:rRNA from 1 species
UCGUACGAGAAAGUAGCAAUACGAGUACAGUGGCGCACGGGUGAGUAAUACUUGGAUAAUGCGCCUCCUCGCUGGGGAUAACCAGGCGAAAGCUUGGCUAAUACCGAAUAGUCCGGUCGGAACUGAGGUUCUGAUCGGUAAAGCCGUAAGGCGCGAGGAGAGUAGUCCAAAUCCCAUUAGCUAGUUGGCAGGGUAAAAGCCUACCAAGGCAACGAUGGGUAGCUGGUCUGAGAGGACGAUCAGCCACACUGGAACUGGAACACGGUCCAGACUCC